CCUUAGGCCAUGACGGUCCUUGGAUUUGCUC
rnacentral:piRNA from 1 species